AAGAAAAAAAAUGGAAAUUAAGUGUAAAUAUAAAUAUAUAUAUUUAUAUAUUAAAUAGUUUUAUUAAAUUAAUUAAAGAAAAGAAAGAAAAGAAAGGACAAAAAGAAGAAAAGGAGAAGAAAAUUUCAUUUUCUCUUUUCUUCUUCUUCUUCUCUUCCCUUCACCGCCAAGUUUGAAGACAUCCAAGUUCCCUUUAUUUUUUUGUUCUUUUUCCUUCUUCAAUUUGCAGAGAACUUCUAAGAGAGAGUUUGGAAGAAGAAGAGAAAUUUUACUAGAAUUUUUAGGUUGAAGAAGAGGAGGAGAACUCAAGCAAAGUGUAUCAAUGGCUGAAUUUUAGUUCAUUCUGCACAUCACUGGUUUUUAAUUCGGUUUGAACUCUUCAAAAGGAAUUAAGAGGGCAGUUGGUUUUCACUCGAAAUCAGGAGGUCUCUGGUUUUUCUUGUAUUUCAGAGUGUAUCGGUGGAGUUAAAAUUUAUAUUUGGAACAAGUUAAAGAGGUCGUGUGCGCGCGAUUCUGGAAGUGGUUCUGUUUUGAGGGUUAUAUGUGUUUAUGCACGGGGAAUCAGAUUUAUAUGUCUUCAGGCCGAGAAGAAUUAAACCGAGCUUAUAGACCAAGGAUCUAGCCCAAGACGGUAGAGAUCGACUUCCCGGUGCCUGAUAGACUGCCUUAGUCUGCGAAAGCUUCAUUAUCGAUUGCCAGUACGUGUUUUGAGUUGAGCAUAAAGUCUGUUGUGUUGUGAUGUAUUCACACCCUUGUAUGUUAUAGAUACUCCACAGUUUGUAUAAGCUUUAGGAGCUGUAGUUGUGUAAAUUUUGUUGGUUAUAUUUUGAUUAAGGUGUCUUUAGGUUUACUCGUGAAAUUGGUAAAUUUUGAGGUACACUUCAUGUAUGUGUUUGACUAGCUGUGUUUGACUAGCCAAGGAUCCGAUGUGUUUUGUGGCAUGUACAAUAGUUUAUAUACUAGAUUGGCAAGUUCAUCACAUGAAAGUUUUAAGCAGAGUCGACAGAUACAGGUACAGAAUAACGUUGUACGUCGGCUUCACGCCAUC